CAAAAUCAUAUUUCCCUCUCCCACACCACGCGUCGCGCCUGUCUGAUUCCGCCCGCCAGCCACGCCCGCAGAUCUCGCUUCGGCGCCCUGAUUCCGUCGUAUGCAAGAUCACAGCCCUGCCUUCCAUCGUCGCCCCCAUGCCAUGCUCCCCUUCCAUCCUCGCUCACUUCCAGCCGCCAACGGAGCCCCCCGCGUACGUCUGGCAGAAACUGUAGAGACCGUCGAAGAUGGGGGCAGUCCUCGCCGACGCUGAAGCGCUUGAGCGCGCGGAUCUGAUCCUGCUGCGUUUCGGGGGUGACGGACCGGAGGAAGGAGACGUAAUCGUCGGCGUGGAAGCGGCAGAGGUCGCGGUCGCGGGCAGGGUGAGGGCGGAACACUUGCAUCUGGUCGAGGAGGCCGUAGCGGCCGAGCAGCGCGUGGGUCAUGCGGAUGCGGUGCGGCUUCAUCGGGUGGCAAUGCUCGUAGUAGCAGUUGCCCACCUCCGCGUCGUAGAAGUAGCAGACGCGGCGCUUCGACCCGUCCGCGCCAGUGGUCGGCAGGGAGUUGCCGCCGCCGCACAGCACGGCAAAGGGUGUGUCAGUCAGGGCGCGAGCACCAACUUUGCAUCCAUUAACUGCUCUGCUCAGAGCAUUAGGUGCGCUUCAGCGUCUAGCCAUUUGGCGGCUUGGGCUUUCUGCGGUUGGGAGGAACGGAGUCUUAAGAUUAGCGCUGUCGGUGUCGUCCUUGAGGUGGACGUCAACGGCGAGGAGCUCUUUUUCGUUGAUAAGUUUACCUCUGCGCGUCCCUGCUAACCGUUCCACAUAGUAUCACAAAAAAAAUGGCACUACCUUGGCAUCGUCUUCCCCAAUUCGGGUGUAUGGAAUUCUUGGAGCAAAGGACCAGCACACUGUCACCUCCAAAGAAAGACCCAGGCUGCUUCUACAAGGAGCUGUACAAAGUGCUUAACGACUGAAGAUUUUGGAUGAGAUGAUGGAUAAUGGUUUUCCACUCACAACUGAGCCAAACAUCUUGAAAGAGAUGAUCACCCCACCUAAUAUUGUGAACAAAAUGUUGAAUGUUGUUACUGGCAAGAGUUCUACCCUUGGCAGCAAACUUCCAGAUGCAGCUGCUUCUUUUGUACCUUGGCGAAGAACAACAGUCAAGGAUGCAAGCAAUGAAGUCUAUGUUAACAUAGUCGAGGAACUUGAUGCAUAUGUGAACAGAGAGGGGGUUCUUGUGAAAUGCGAAGCAUACGGUGAAGUCCAAGUAAACUGCAGCCUCCCAGGAUGACCACAUGUAAGCAAUAGAUGCUGCUACCAGCAAAAAGGGCCAGUCCUAGAGUUCCCUAUGGGUUAAAUAUCUUGUGUAGUCAUUUGUUCAGGAAGCCAGAGGCCUUGCUGCUGGACCAAGAUUAGUCCAAAGGUUAUCUGGUUUUGGGGACCAUCGAUCUGCAGACAAUGUGGCAAGAGUGGUAGAGGAAGAGCUUGCACAUGCCUCUAUGGUUUGUAUUGAUUUCUCAAAGAAUGCCAAGUGAUGGGUCGUGAACCAAGCAAUACUUUCCAAGACUUGAUAAAGGAGUACGAAGUUGUAAUGAAGGGUCCAUUCAACUACACGGCUCGUGAUGAAGCUGGUAUACCCCGAGAAUGGUUCAUGAUAGAUUAGCUUGUAUUGUUGAGAUGGAAAAAGAGAAUGCAAGUUUGGGAUAAGCAGUUGAAGUCUCAUCCUCCAAAGAACGUUGAAUCGGAAAUCUUGCGUGAGCAUAUCAAGAAAGAGAGGGAGACAACAAAGGCUGGAAAAUGACCAUACUAUCUGAAGAAACCUGAACUUCGCGAAAGGAAGCUGAUGAACAAGUACAACGAGCUCAAGGAGGCAGGAAAGCUUGAUGCAUUCAUGGAAAAGCGGUGGAGGAAGAAUGCCUCCAAAGAUCAUCGGUUCAUGCCGUACCGACGCAGUGGAGAUGUAUAAUAGUUUCCUGAUUCUGGAGGCGAGUGAAAGGAUGAUUUUAGGACGGUGUUCUCAUGGUGGCUGGACACUGGACAGUCAGUGUCUCUGUUACUUUGUUGCCCUAGCCGUACAAUCGUCAGCUCCGUGCACAAUCUCUACUACUUCUUAAGAAUAUAGUGCAGGCGUCCAUGGUGGUUUUUUAUGUUUCUCAUUUCACUCUCUGCAUUUUCAGUUACAACUAUACUGCAUAUGCUGGCAGAUUUGUUCAUAUAUUACUCCAGCUGACAUUUUCACUAUCGCAACAACAUCUCUACUACUAUUUGUUUUUUUGC